rnacentral:rRNA from 1 species
AGCUCCAAUAGCGUAUGUUAAAGUUGUUGCGGCUAAAAAGCUCGUAGUUGGAUUUCUAGAUGAGAGGAGAGGUCCACCUCAUGGGUGUGCAUCUUCUUCCGCUCGUCUAUCCGCUCUGCAAACGUGUUCGCGCUUGAGUGCGUGGCGCGGAGGUAGGGCCUUUUACUUUGAGGAAAUUAGAGUGUUCACGGCAGGCUUACGCCUUGAAUAUAUUAGCAUGGAAUAAUAACAUAGGAUCUUGGUCCUAUUUUGUUGGUUUCUAGGACUUAGAUAAUGAUUAAUAGGGACAAUUGGGGGCAUUCGUAUCGCGGCGUCAGAGGUGGAAUUCUUAGAUUGCUGCGCGACGAACUACUGCGAAAGCAUUUGCCAAGGAUGUUUUCAU